GUAGGUGGCAAGCGUUGUCCGGAAUUAUUGGGCGUAAAGCGCGCGCAGGCGGUUCUUUAAGUCUGAUGUGAAAGCCCACGGCUCGAACCGUGGAGGGUCAUUGGAAACUGGAGAACUUGAGUACAGAAGAGGAAAGCGGAAUUCCACGUGUAGCGGUGAAAUGCGUAGAGAUGUGGAGGAACACCAGUGGCGAAGGCGGCUUUCUGGUCUGUAACUGACGCUGAGGCGCGAAAGCGUGGGGAGCAAACAGGAUUAGAUACCCUGGUAGUCCACGCCGUAAACGAUGAGUGCUAAGUGUUAGGGGGUUUCCGCCCCCCUUAGUGCUGCAGCUAACGCAUUAAGCACUCCGCCUGGGAGUACGGCCGCAAGGCUG
rnacentral:rRNA from 1 species